AAUACAACAUCUUCAUUAGAGGUGGAAUACGCCUUGGAAGUUCCUAUUGGCUAACAUGUCAACAUCUGAGCAGACAGAAGGAUAUUCUGAGUCUUCAAGUCAUGAUGAAGUAAAGGAGGAGUCAUAUUGUGCAGGAGUUAGCAGUCCCCUGGAGGAGGCUGUAGAAUGUCCAGUGAGCUGCAAAUUUGAGUGCCAGAGUAUCUGCUGGGGUGUGGGAAGAAAAUGUUAGAUUUCUACUUAUAUUCAUUUCUCAACAAAAAUAAAUGAGAAAUUAUGAUUUAUUAA